rnacentral:lncRNA from 1 species
CAGAGGGUAAUGAGAGCCAGAGGGUAAUUGGAGCGGUGCGACUAAAGACAAAACUAGGCAUCGUAUUCACUCGGUUGUCACUCGGGCACCUUCGGCAUGCUGCGAUCGCGUUUCUCUACUGUUCUAGACUCGCCAGUGCCACGCGUUGUGUGACCACGGACGCUUGUCGAUUUUUUGCUCCGCGCUUAUAAAAAAUACGAAAUUUCAUCGGCCAGAUGUCAAUAAAAACCCUGAUAUUGACCAUGUUGUAAGUCCAUCUAUACUAAGUGAGCUACAAGUGGAAGCAUCUACAACAAAUAGUACCCAAAGCAUGUCGCCAAACACAAUCCCUUAUAAAAUCCCGUUUAUGUCGAAUGAAAAAAUACUCCUGGAGCUAGCUAAUGUCAAAUUUUCCAUGACCUCGUCCACAAUAAACGACGUUCAAGAACAAUCACUCUACACAGAACCAAUUUUAUCAAA